CGGAGGGUGCAAGCGUUAUCCGGAUUCACUGGGUUUAAAGGGUGUGUAGGCGGGUAUUUAAGUCAGUGGUGAAAUCUCCGGGCUCAACCCGGAAACUGCCAUUGAUACUAUUUAUCUUGAAUUCUGUUGAGGUAGGCGGAAUAUAUCAUGUAGCGGUGAAAUGCUUAGAUAUGAUAUAGAACACCGAUUGCGAAGGCAGCUUACUAAGCAGAUAUUGACGCUGAGGCACGAAAGCGUGGGGAUCAAACAGGAUUAGAUACCCUGGUAGUCCACGCCCUAAACGAUGAUUACUCGACAUACGCGAUAUUACUGUGUGUGUCUGAGCGAAAGCAUUAAGUAAUCCACCUGGGAAUACGUCCGCAAGGAUG
rnacentral:rRNA from 1 species